rnacentral:rRNA from 1 species
UACGUAGGGGGCAAGCGUUGUCCGGAUUUAUUGGGCGUAAAGAGCUCGUAGGCGGUUUGUCGCGUCUGCUGUGAAAACUCGGGGCUUAACCCCGGGCCUGCAGUGGGUACGGGCAGACUAGAGUGCGGUAGGGGAGACUGGAAUUCCUGGUGUAGCGGUGAAAUGCGCAGAUAUCAGGAGGAACACCGGUGGCGAAGGCGGGUCUCUGGGCCGUAACUGACGCUGAGGAGCGAAAGCGUGGGGAGCGAACAGG